rnacentral:lncRNA from 10 species
ACCCCCGCCCCUGCUGCCCCGAGUUCGGCUCCCUCAGCCCCACAUCCUCUCUGGUCAUCUAAGUGGACUGCAGCUGCUCAGGGAGCAUGUCGCGAAGGAUAGGGAAGGACAGGGGGUCUGCUUCCCCAGCCGCCCUCCAGACCCCCAGGGCUGGUAGGGGCCGGCAACCCUAUGCCCCAACCUGGCCUGCUGCAGGUGAGGGGGGCACACCAGGGUAACACAGGAGCAGGAGGGGGAGAAAGCCUGGCUAGAGCAUCCACCUCAUAGGCACCUUCCUUGUGUCCAGGGUGCAGAUGCCAGGGCUCUGAGGCCCUGAGGUCCUGUCUGGGGCGAGGGGGCUUCCUCCAUCCACUGCAUCCACUGCCCGGCUGAGUCUAGAGGCCACUGAGCAAGCAGACCCUCCAAAGCCAGGCACACUCAGGCCCUCACAUGGUCACGGUGCUUAUGCUCUGGGCCAGCCUGGAUUGCUCAUCCCUAGCUGAGAUUGGGAUUCACAGGGUCUUCCAGUUCCCCCUUUUCUUUCUCUACUGAUUGAGAAACACAGAGUCCUUUGAUUGCUCUGGGACCUGGCCAUUGCGUGUUCCCUGCAGCCUUGAACCCAGUUCAAUGGGGCCGGGCACAUUCCCUGAUAAAGCUGUUUAGGUUGCUUGAAAACACAAUCAACCCUAUUGCUAAACACGUAGAAACUGGCCCUGCCCUGAGUCCAAUCCCUUAAACUCUCAUCUAAGCUCCAUAGCCAGAGUCCCUUGCUGCAAAUGUACCUGGGUGGAGCAUCCCUUGCCUCAUCAUCGAUCCCAAGAAAGCUGAAGCUCCAUGUGAAAAUUUCCGGAAGAAAUGCUCUGGACUGAUCACCCUGGCGUUUAGAGCUUCUUUCCUUGGAAUCCCAACCAAUUCCAUCGCGGGACUGUUUGGGGAAGUCUUUUGAGGCAACUCCCUUGCUGCCACUUUUGGGGCAACUCUAGCCUCCUCAUAUUUGGCCAGAUAGAACAGUUCCAAGCUGUAAAUGUUUCCAGGAAAAAAUCUCAACUACAAAGACACUUUCAAGGUGCUGCAUUUCCAACAGCACUCUCCGUAUCCGAGUGGACAGCCCAGAGCAAUGGUGCUUCCAAUCCACAGAGCCCCUCCACAGGUCCCUUGCCAUCUGCAGACACCCACAUCUCAAGGCUGGAGUGCAAUGACAGUCUCAGCUCACUGCAACCUCUGCUCCCGGGUUCAAGCGAUUCUCCUGCCUCGGCCUCC